rnacentral:rRNA from 1 species
ACGUGCCAGCAGCCGCGGGUAAUACGUAGGGUGCAAGCGUUAAUCGGAAAUUACUGGGCGUAAAGCGUGUGUAGGCGGUUCGGAAAGAAAGAUGUGAAAUCCCAGGGCUCAACCUUGGAACUGCAUUUUUAACUGCCGAGCUAGAGUAUGUCAGAGGGGGGUAGAAUUCCACGUGUAGCAGUGAAAUGCGUAGAUAUGUGGAGGAAUACCGAUGGCGAAGGCAGCCCCCUGGGAUAAUACUGACGCUCAGACACGAAAGCGUGGGGAGCAAACAGGAUUAGAUACCCUGGUAGUCCACGCCCUAAACGAUGUCAACUAGCUGUUGGGGCCGUUAGGCCUUAGUAGCGCAGCUAACGCGUGAAGUUGACCGCCUGGGGAGUACGGUCGCAAGAUUAAAACUCAAAGGAAUUGACGGGGACCCGCACAAGCGGUGGAUGAUGUGGAUUAAUUCGAUGCAACGCGAAAAACCUUACCUACCCUUGACAUGUCUGGAAAGCCGAAGAGAUUUGGCCGUGCUCGCAAGAGAACCGGAACACAGGUGCGCAUGGCUGUCGUCAGCUCGUGUCGUGAGAUGUUGGGUUAAGUCCCGCAACGAGCGCAACCCUUGUCAUUAGUUGCUACGCAAGAGCACUCUAAUGAGACUGCCGGUGACAAACCGGAGGAAGGUGGGGAUGACGUCAAGUCCUCAUGGCCCUUAUGCGUAGGGCUUCACACGUCAUACAAUGGUCGGGACAGAGGGUCGCCAACCCGCGAGGGGGAGCCAAUCUCAGAAACCCGAUCGUAGUCCGGAUUACAGUCUGCACCUGGAUCGGGGGAAGUCGGAAUCGCUAGUAAUCGCGGAUCAGAAUGUCGCGGUGAAUACGUUCCCGGGUCUUGUACACACCGCCCGUCACACCAUGGGAGUGGGUUUCACC